AUUUAAGAGUUUGAUAGUACUUGCUCUCUAUAUAGUAGGAAAUUAAUCACAGUUUUUCCAGUUGGUAAAUGAUGGAGUCUAGUGAUGUAAAUAUUCUUUAUAUUCAGCACAUUAGAUUUUGUAAGGAGCCUUCUAUUUAACAAAUUGUGGAAAUUUGUAGACUGGAAACUAUACUUUAAGUGCAUUUGCUAUUAAAGGAUCUUGUAGUCUGCUGAAGAAAAUGCAGAGUUCUCUGCAUUAAAGUGAAAAAUUUCUACUUAUUAAUUUUUUUGGUGGUGGCCAAAUAUCUAUUACAUUAUCUAACAGUGACCUUGAGAUCAUUUUUCUUUUCAAAUAUCUAUAAUUGUCUUAAAGGAUUUAUCGUAUGGCAAAAUAGCCAUGGAGUAAGGAUGUUUAAUGGAAUCAGAACCACCUAACUGAGUUGAUGUCAAGGGUAAUAAAAGAGCACAUUUCACAGUUUUACUCAUAAGCCAUAACUUUAUUUAAAACUGAAUCUCUCUUGAAAAGGUGCAAUGUAUAAUUUGUGAACUAGAUGCAUAUUUUUCAUUAGUGAGUCUUUCAGAAAAAAAUGUUCUCUAGGGCAAAGGGCUUUUCUCCUCUCUCUGAGAUGUUGUACUUAAAUUAUAGAGGUCCCUGCUUUGGCUACUGAGGGCAUAUUUUAUGUCCAGUUUUCCAGCAAUGUUUGAGUACCAAUAGUAUGAUUUCAACAUAUUCCACUUCAGCAGUAUGAAUUCCUGAUAUGUAAUGUCAUUUGUUUGUUUUGGAAAUCUGUGAUUAUUACUUUUUUUUUAAAUUCCCUUUGGGAAUAUUUAUAAUAUUUAUAAUUUGUGAAUAUCUAUAAUCAAUUAUGUAGAAAACUUCAAAGAUAAUCAGAACUAAGUAUAGUAAAUGAGAUUCCCAGAAAAUGAUUCAGCAGCAUUCUUUUUUUCAUCCCAUGUCUAUAAUGUCCCUGUCAUUUGAUUGCCAAAGAAAAAUUUGUCAAAAAAGCUAGGAAAGAAAGUAGUAAUUUCUAAAGAGAUAGAUAUGAUGUAUUUAAACAACUCUAAAAAAAAAAAAGUAGUAUAGGAAAAAAUGAAGAGAUAGAGAGCAGUAUUCCAAAAAAAGGAAGUAAGAGAAGUUAUAGUAGGAGCAAAACUAAACUGCCAACCAAUCCCAUACCUUCUUCAAUGUAACUCAACCAUCAUGACUUCAAAUAUAUCCUUCCCAGUCUUGCAGGCAAACCUCUCCAGUUUGUCUAGUACUAAACCUUUUUAACUUUCACAAGAUAUACUCAAUAUUAGAGCAUAGAUCUUGUAUACUUAAUAGAUUCUAACUGUUUCUAUUAUGCCCUUCCACUUGUCUUCUCAGAGUCCUAUCCUAAAUACUGUGAUCAACAAAAUAAAAUUUCACAGACGCACCCCAUUCCUAACUCCUAAGGAAAUAUUCAUACCCAUAGGACAUACAUUACUGACUGGAGUUUCAGCAAGACAUUUGGCAGAGUCCCUCAAGAUAUUCUUAUAGAGAAGAUAGAAAUGUGUGAUCUGGAUAAUGGUGCAAUUAGUUGGAUUUAAAACUGGUUGAAUGACUGGAAACAAAGAGUUCCAGUCUAACUAAAGGACUGUCAACCGAAUUUCAUAUUCUCUUGUAAGGUGUCCCAGGACUUGGUCCUCAGUCUCAUUUUAUUCAACCCUUUAAACAGUGAUUUAUAGGAAAUCAUGAAUAGAAUGGAAUGCUUAUCAAGUCUGUCGAUUAUACAGAGCUGGGAAGAAUAACUAACUUGUUACACGAUUGAUUCAAGAUCUGAAGAAAUCUCAGCAGACUAGAAUGAUAGUCCUAAUCUAAUAAAAUGACAUUUAAUGGAGGUGAGUGUUAAAUUUUGUAUUUAAAUUUAAGACUUUAAUUCCCCAAUUUCAGGAUGGGAGAGAUAUGACUGAACAAAAAGUUAUGUGUAAUUGUUAUUGGGAUUUUAGUGAACUUCAAGCCUAAUAUAACUCAGUGGUAUACAUAAUGAUGGGAUAGGAUGGAGAGGCAGCUAAUGUGUCAUCAGGCUAUGGGAAUUACGUAUAUUCAGAACUAAGUAGUGAUCAUUCCAUGAUCCAUUCCAUACUCGUUAUGUGGAGUAUUGUAUUUGGUUCUACAUACCAAAUGGAUAAGCUAUAAUUUGUCCAGAAGAGGCUACCAGGAUAGAAAGGGGAGCUCAAAACUCAAGAUCCAAUGAUCUAAGGAUAUUUAACCUGGAAAAGUCUUUGGAGACACAGUGAAAUAUGAUGGCUAUCUUCAAAUAUUUGAAGGAUUUUCAUGUGGAAACAAGAGUAAGCUUGUUCUGCUUGGCACAUAAGGAGCAGAGGUAAGAGCACUGGAUAGAAACUGCAUAGACACAUUUUGACUUGUUUCCUAAUAAAUAGAGCCAUCCAGAAAUGGAAAGAGCUACCUCAGGGGAAGGUUUUACAUAUCACUGGAGAUGUUUAAGCAAAGGCUAGAUGACCACUUACUAGAGAAUUUGUAGAGUGAUUUACUAUUAGGUAGGAGUGGGACCAAAAAGUCUGUGGGAUCUUUGCCAGUUCUGAGAUUCUGUGCCUCUAUAUGAAAGACAGAAUGUUCUUUUGACAUCAAGAAACUUUUUAUAUCCUAUAAACAGACAACUCAUAAAAAUACGCCUGUGCAUAGGAUAGCCUUAUAUUUGCAGAGUACUUUUUCCCAAGGAUCUAAAAAUACAUUUUUUCCCCUUCUGCUAAGUUUGUUAAGUAGUUAAGGAACCCACAUCCACUCAAUUAAAUUAGAAAACAAGUUAAAAAAUUAACUAACUUGGUCAGGUUGUCCACUGAGUCAUCAAGCUCUUCCCACUAUAUCAGGCUAUUUGUAUUUGUAGCAUGUAAAUGACUAUUUGCCAAAUAUCUUAUUUCCGGAAUUCCAUUCUUUCCACAGUAAUAAUUGAGAAUCCAAUUCUGGUGGUAGACUGAAAUGUGAUGUAUUUAAAGUUGUGAGAAUAAAAAUGAGGUCAACAAAUGAGAUAAAAUACAAUUUCCACUUGAGGGUUAUGCCUAUGAUUUUACAUUUUUUUUGAAAGACUGAUAUUUGAAUGACAAAUGGACUAUUGAAGUUACUUUUUCCUCUUAGCAGUUUUUUUGGUUCUUUGUUUCUAAAUUAUUGAAAUGCAUGUGGCCUUUUAAAUCUAAUCAAGUGGUGACCAUAUGUUAAUGACAAUAGCAAAAAAAAAAAAAAAAAAAAUGAACAUGUUUGUGCCUUAAGAGGCAGGACUAUUAAGUAAGAUAAUUUCUCAGAUACUUUAAUUCCUUUUUCCUGUAUAGAAAACAAUGAAUGCUUUACAAUCUUUUUUUAUUUUCUUAUUUGUAAAAUACUUUUUGAAACUUUUUUGUUUAUCAAAUCAUAGCAAAUUCAAACCAUGAAAGAGAAACUAACAAAUUAGAGGAAAUUAGUUCAGAUUUAUGAGCACUCCUGAUAGUUUUCUUUAGUUCUAAACUUAGGGGCUUCUUCUUUUCAUAUACAUAUGCCCUAUUUCACCAGUAUCCAUAGCAAUACUACAUAUAGCAUCAUUGCAAACUUACUAUGUAUUUUAAGGGCCCUAAUAGUGCCAACUUGUACAUUCAGACAACUGCACUAUCACAUUUGUUGAAAGUGAUCUCUUCCUUAUUUGCUUCUAAGUGAAGUAUAGGAAAGUAAUCAUAUAACACUAACCAAGAGUUGCUAACCCCCUGCAGUCUGUUGUGUUUGCUCAGUGGGCACCAUAACCUGUUGUACUUUGCCCAACCUACACACCAGAUCCCUAUAUCAUUUACAAACUUCUAGAAACUCAAAUUGAAACAAAAACAAAGCUGGAAAGAAUACUACACUGAAGUUCUCCAUAAACCUCAUGUGGUCCUUAGUAGAGAGUAAUUCCCAAGUGUGAUUAGCUAAAACUAACUCUUGGGACUGAAUCGGGCGUAGAAACAAGCCUCUCUACUUAUGUCUCAAUUUGCAGACCAGAAUGGAUUCUCUGGUCUUGUUUAGACCCAAUAUACCACAGAAUGCAUUUUCCCUCUGGAAGAUUGUUAUAAAUUCUUAAAGUUGCCCUGGGGUUUAGGAAGUCCAACCCUUAAAUUUGGCUACUAAACAAGAAACCAUCCAGAGUUUGCAAUUAAGCCUCAGGUGACAGGGGGCUGUUUCCUAGCCAUUUUUUUUUAAAAACAAGCCUAGAUUCCCAAAGCUCUACAAUUCCAAUCAUAUUAAGCCAUCUUACUGUGUAUGAAGAACAGGGUCUCUUAUAAUAUCCUUUUAAAGUUAUAGUAUUCAACUUAAGCAGAAAAACCAGAGCCUUAACUACUUUACACAUCUCUCAAGAUAAGCGCAAUAUCCCUUUAGGAUUUAAUGUUCCCUAAAUGUAUUAAUAAUUCGUUACUAUUCAAAACCUGGUUUCUUUAUGGUUAUGUGCUUCUGGUGUAUAAGGCUGAAUGGCAAUUGAAACUAUAAUUUAUCAAUUCAAAUACACUCCUCAUACCAAAGGUAAUUUUGUGAUUCUUGUUGCAUGUUCCAUAUGAUGUGUAUAGUCAUGACAUGUACAAGAUGAGAUACAUCAUAAAAGCAUCGUUUCAUUGAGAUUUGACUUGAGAAAUCUGAAUGUCUUAAGAACUAUACUGUUUUAUGUUACUCUAAAGUUGUGCACUUAGUCUUAAGUGGGAAUAAGUGUUGAUCUUGUCUAAGCAUUUGUUUGAUUUGAGAUUGACUAUAUGUUGUGGAUUGAAAUUGAUAUCAUAUAUGCCAGAGAUUCUAGCCAUGAAGACAACCAUUGCUGGUCAUGAAAUGCAGGAAGAAAUAGCAAAAAAACAAACAAACAAAAAAAAAAAACAACAGUUGUGUGGAUUUUGAAGAACCUUUCAAUUUCAAAAGCAAUGGACAGUUUUCUUUUUUUAAAAAGAAAAUCCCAAUUUCUAGAAAUUGUGGUUAAUGAUCUUUUCUCAUUCCCAGCAAAUCAUUUUAUCACUCUUUUUCACCCUCUCAUCCCCAUAGCUGAAGGUCAGAAAACACUGCUGAUGGGAAAUGUUGAAGCUUUACUUCAGCUGGGGGGAGGAGGAGGCUAUUUAGGAGGCUAAUUGUAAAAAGACAAACAAAAAAAAUAUUUAUGCUUUGUCAAGAACCAAAGCCAAGAAGAAGUUGUAUCUGUGAAAUAUUAAGCUAUAUCUGUAUAUAGAAUAAACACACCAUGAUCUUUGACUCAUUACUACAGACCUUGUAACCAGUUGUAUACUAUAAUGUUUUACUGUAAUGAAGAAAAUUUCACACUUUAGCUAUAGAAAGCUGGGAAAAUAAUUUAAAAUACAGUGUAAUUAACAUGAAA
rnacentral:lncRNA from 1 species